AGCUAAAGCAGACAAGCUUCUCACCCCCGGCAGUGAGUGCUUUUCAUUGUGGAGGCCCAGCUCUCUGAGUGGUUCUCUUUCCCAGUGCUUUUCUUCUCCCAGCAUGGGCCAUCAUUUCUCUUCUCCGUAACAGUAAACUCCCAUUUCAUCAUUAGAUGGGAAACGUCCUUUCUGUUUGCCACACUGACCUCCUGACGCCCACCCCCUUAGCUUUCCCUCCUCACCUCAACUUGGCUACGCAUUUAGCAGACUGGUGCUCUCAUUGGCGCUGCUAGUCCUCUAGGAGCUUUCAAGUUACCCCUAAUCUUUUUCUUUAUGUCCCUUCAUUUGUUUCCUCUCAUGAGGAUUAGUGGUUUUUCUCUCCAACUUGCUCUCAGGCCAUCCUUCCUUGAGUUCCUUCUACAACCAGAAUCUUUAAGACUUGAAUGGCUGCUUUUGGCAGUGUCCCAUGAUGCUCCACCAAGCACAAGUACAGUGGAUGAUGAAGGACAUCCCAGGUAAGCAGUCUGACAUGUUCUCUCACUUAGAGCGUUCAGGCUCACUUUAGGAACAGCAGUAGAAAAACUUAACCCUGUAGCGGGAGUAGUGAGAUCACAUAUCCUUGCUAAUCCUAGCAGUUCUGAACACUUGUGAACUCACUGACCCUCUAAGAAUCCCACGAUUCCAUUCAGGAAAAUUCACAUUCAUGUAAACAUUUGCACAUAACUUCAAAGAGUUCAACUGGUCUGUCUGCAGCUUUGUAGACCAACAGUAAACCCUGGAUUAGCCUAUCUUAAAGAAAAGAAAAUGUUUUUUUUUUAAAGGUAUGUUAAUUAGUUUAUAAAUGUACCCCUAGUAUCUGAAAAAC
rnacentral:lncRNA from 1 species